AGUUGCUAACGCGUGAAGGCGAGCACUCUAGACGAACUGCCGUUGACAAAACGGAGGAAGGUGGGGAUGACGUCAAAUCAUCAUGCCCUUAUGUUCUGGGCUACACACGUGCUACAAUGGCCGGUACAGACGGACGCAAAGCCGCGAGGUGGAGCAAAUCCUAAAAAGCCGGUCUCAGUUCGGAUUGCAGGCUGCAAUUCGCCUGCAUGAAGUCGGAAUCGCUAGUAAUCGCAGGUCAGCAUACUGCGGUGAAUACGUUCCCGGGCCUU
rnacentral:rRNA from 1 species